CCCUUUUUUUGGUUCAUAAGCAUGAUGAUUGUGUGUCCAUGCAUGACAUGCGCCUCCCUCAGACGUUGUCCCCCUAGACGUGGACACAUUAGCCCUCUCUAAAA